rnacentral:rRNA from 1 species
UACGUAGGGUGCAAGCGUUAUCCGGAAUUAUUGGGCGUAAAGAGCUCGUAGGCGGUUUGUCGCGUCUGCUGUGAAAACCCGAGGCUCAACCUCGGGCCUGCAGUGGGUACGGGCAGACUAGAGUGCGGUAGGGGAGAAUGGAAUUCCUGGUGUAGCGGUGAAAUGCGCAGAUAUCAGGAGGAACACCGGUGGCGAAGGCGGGUCUCUGGGCCGAUACUGACGCUGAGGAGCGAAAGCGUGGGGAGCGAACAGG